rnacentral:tRNA from 1 species
AUUAUUUUAACAGUUUAAUGUAAUAAUUUUUUAAAUUAUUUGUAUAUAAGUUAUCUUAUUUAAAUAGUA